GGUGACCUGCGGAAGGAUCAUUAAUGAAAUUAUGACUGGGGUUGUAGCUGGCCCAUAAAACGGCAUGUGCACGCUCCUUUCACAAUCCACACACACCUGUGCACCUUCGCGGGGGUCCUCUUUCCUUUUGGGAAAAAAGGUCCCGUCCCUUUACACACCCCUUGUAUGUCUUAAAAAUGGCUACUCCAUGUAAUAAAACGCAUCCUAAACAACUUUCAACAACGGAUCUCUUGGCUCUCGCAUCCAUGAAAAACGCAACGAAAUGGCAUAAGUAAUGGGAAUUGCAAAAUUCCAUGAAUCAUCCAAUCCUUGAACGCACCUUGGGCCCUUUGGUAUUCCCAAAGGGCACCUGGUUGAAUGUCCUGAAAUUCCCAACCCUCCUUGCUUGUUUUGGCGAACGUAAGGAUUGGACUUGGAAGCUUUGCCGGGCUGCUUCCUGUCGCUCGGCUCCUCUCAAAUGCAUUAAUGCCUCCUGGUGCCACGUGCCGCUCCGUGUGAUUAUUAACUACGCUGUGGUGCGCCUGCCUCCUUGGAACCGCCUCCGAACCUCCGAAAGGCAGCUUCCACAACUUGACUCAAUCAGUGGACUACCCGCUUAACUUAGCUUCAUAGCCGAAGAA
rnacentral:rRNA from 1 species